ensembl:lncRNA
CGCUCUGUUCCCAGGCCGAGACCUGUACCUGGCACACAGUAGAGGUUUCAUGUGACUGAAUGAAUGGAUCUCACAGAGUUUUCCCUCUGAAGGGGAGUCUGCCGCCCACUCCCCACCUUUACCCCCAGUUCAUUAUUUGGUUUUAAUGGAAACUAGUUUCAUAACUUCUGAUCAGCUAGAAACCUCUGGAUUCCCAGGAAGGUUAUUGAUGGUGCAGAAUCUCUGCUAACCUUCUGGGAACCAGUCAGAAGAGACAGUCGGCAGGCUGGGUUGGAGCCUGAAGUCUUCCCUCCUUUGCCCAAGGAAGAGCCAGGAAUCUGGAGAAUCGUAAGGUUUUUCUUCUUUCUCUCUUCCUCUAGUCACAGCCAAGAUAGAAAUACCAUUAUUGAAGGGAAAUGAAGAGACCUGAUUUGACCCUAUAAUGGGGAUGCUUUUCCAAGAGACUUCUGAUUUUACUUACAUUCAGUUUAUUCCCUUGCUUGAUGAAUCACGAUCUCCUGUGACUUCCUGAGAAAGGACCCACUGAGUGUGGAGCCACGGCACUGUCACAUCCUCUGCAUAAGGGAUGCUGAGUCCCAGAGCUGGGCUGCACCUGGGGCUGGGAACAAGUGGAUGUCACCUUCGGAGAAAACACCUCCCCAAGGUGAUGGGAAAGAGGCUUCUGACAAUUUGAAAUAUUGCCAAUCUGUUGCCUGCAACCCUUCAAUCCCUUUGAAUUCCCCUCAUCUCCCUG